rnacentral:rRNA from 1 species
AAGCGUGCGCAGGCGGUUUUUGUAAGACUGUCGUGAAAUCCCCGGGCUCAACCUGGGAAUGGCGAUGGUGACUGCAAGGCUAGAGUUUGGCAGAGGGGGGUAGAAUUCCACGUGUAGCAGUGAAAUGCGUAGAUAUGUGGAGGAACACCGAUGGCGAAGGCAGCCCCCUGGGUCAAAACUGACGCUCAUGCACGAAAGCGUGGGGAGCAAACAGGAUUAGAUACCCGAGU